rnacentral:rRNA from 1 species
AGUGAACGCUGGCGGUAGGCCUAACACAUGCAAGUCGAACGGCAGCACAGUAAGAGCUUGCUCUUACGGGUGGCGAGUGGCGGACGGGUGAGGAAUACAUCGGAAUCUACUUUUUCGUGGGGGAUAACGUAGGGAAACUUACGCUAAUACCGCAUACGACCUACGGGUGAAAGCAGGGGAUCUUCGGACCUUGCGCGAUUGAAUGAGCCGAUGUCGGAUUAGCUAGUUGGCGGGGUAAAGGCCCACCAAGGCGACGAUCCGUAGCUGGUCUGAGAGGAUGAUCGCCCAAACUGAAACGGAGACACGGUCCAGACUCCUACGGGAGGCAGCAGUGGGGAAUAUUGGAAAAGGGGCGCAAGCCUGAUCCAGCCAUACCGCGUGGGUGAAGAAGGCCGUCGGGUUGUAAAGCCCUUUUGUGGGGAAAAAAAAGAAGCAGGUUAAUACCCGGCUGUUCUGACAGUACCCAAAGAAUAGCACCGGCUAACUUCGU